GCAAACUUGGUCAUUUAGAGGAAGUAAAAGUCGUAACAAGGUUUCCGUAGGUGAACCUGCGGAAGGAUCAUUAUUGAAUAAACCUGCGUGGGUUGUUGCUGGCCUCUUCGGAGGUAUGUGCACGCCUGCCAUCGUUUCAUUCAUCCCUUCCACCUGUGCACUCUCUGUAGGCUGUGCCAUUGCUUUUCGGGUUCCAUCCCGGUAUGAGGAGUUGCUGCUCUCUGGCUUUCCUUGGAUGGUCGCGGUCUAUGUCUUCAUCAACUCAUCGUAUGUAACGGAAUGUAUGAUCUGGGCUUGUACUGCCCAAAACCCCUAUACAACUUUCAACAACGGAUCUCUUGGCUCUCGCAUCGAUGAAGAACGCAGC
rnacentral:misc_RNA from 1 species